rnacentral:rRNA from 1 species
UACGUAGGGGGCAAGCGUUGUCCGGAAUCAUUGGGCGUAAAGCGCGUGUAGGCGGUUCGGUAAGUCCGCUGUGAAAGUCGGGGGCUCAACCCUCGGAUGCCGGUGGAUACUGUCGAGCUUGAGUACGGAAGAGGCGAGUGGAAUUCCUGGUGUAGCGGUGAAAUGCGCAGAUAUCAGGAGGAACACCAAUUGCGAAGGCAGCUCGCUGGGACGUUACUGACGCUGAGGCGCGAAAGCGUGGGGAGCAAACAGG